rnacentral:rRNA from 1 species
CAGAUUGAACGCUGGCGGCAGGCCUAACACAUGCAAGUCGAGCGGCAGCACGGGUACUUGUACCUGGUGGCGAGCGGCGGACGGGUGAGUAAUGCCUAGGAAUCUGCCUGGUAGUGGGGGAUAACGCUCGGAAACGGACGCUAAUACCGCAUACGUCCUACGGGAGAAAGCAGGGGACCUUCGGGCCUUGCGCUAUCAGAUGAGCCUAGGUCGGAUUAGCUAGUUGGUGAGGUAAUGGCUCACCAAGGCGACGAUCCGUAACUGGUCUGAGAGGAUGAUCAGUCACACUGGAACUGAGACACGGUCCAGACUCCUACGGGAGGCAGCAGUGGGGAAUAUUGGACAAUGGGCGAAAGCCUGAUCCAGCCAUGCCGCGUGUGUGAAGAAGGUCUUCGGAUUGUAAAGCACUUUAAGUUGGGAGGAAGGGCAUUUACCUAAUACGUAAGUGUUUUGACGUUACCGACAGAAUAAGCACCGGCUAACUCUGUGCCAGCAGCCGCGGUAAUACAGAGGGUGCAAGCGUUAAUCGGAAUUACUGGGCGUAAAGCGCGCGUAGGUGGUUCGUUAAGUUGGAUGUGAAAUCCCCGGGCUCAACCCUGGGAACUGCAUUCAAAAC